GAAUAGGGGGCAGCCAGCGUACGGUGUGGGAACUCGGGCCGGCGCGGGAGCCUGCGGUCAAGGGGGCUCAGCACUUUGUAAACAAGGAGUGGGAAGCGUUAAAAAAACGCUCGUAGGGAAAACCAGGGAAGGGCGGACAUAGCGCCAGGGUGGCAGGAAUGGAGCCCGGGCAAAGACGGCCCUGCCGUGGGCCCUAGCGCUCCCUUCGUCGGCCCCUGGAGCUGCGGCCGGGCGUGGGUCAGUCGUUCACGGGCCCGGAAAUUCCACUGGGACACCCGAAAAAGUGCUGCACGCCGCCUGAGGGAGACGGAAAGGGACCCGGGGCACUGAGUCCAUUGCUGGGGUCGCCAGGGUACGUGGCAGGACCCGCUGUGCACACUCGGGACUGAGGAGACCCCUGGGACGCGGAGAGCCGCUCCAGGGCAGAACCAGUCCGUCAGCAUUUAGCCUUCCACGGGCCUGAGGGUGCGAGCCCUGCGGGGGCCACAGGGUCAUUGUCCAAAGUCAUCCCCGUUUGCACUGUGGCAGCACCGAACCCGGAAGUAACAGCUUUGGCAGGUCUUUGAUGGUGAUCCAGUGGCAGGAGGAGCUCAGCUGGAAUGGGAAUCAGGAAAGAGACCUGGCUUCUGCCAUUUAUUGGCACUUCACCCUUCUGAACCUCAGCUUUCAAAUGAGAGCUGGCUUCUAGGUCUAGAAUACAGUGAGUGUGAGAAAAAUAACUGAGAGGCGUUGGGACUUCAGUAACUACUCAUUCCUUAACCAGUUGUUGAUUGUGCCUGUUGUGCCAGGAUGAAAUAUUUGUUAAUAAUAGAGACCAGAAAGGAGAGGGGGGAAAAAACAAGCAUAUGUAUGAUUCAAGCAAUGAAGAGCUACUCUCCGGAGUUGGCUCUUUCCUGUGCUUCACUUCGUACUUGAAGAUGCCACAAUGCCUGGCUUCCUUAUCAACCAGCUGAACUCCGAAUUGUGCCUUACAGGAUGCGAAGAAUCCGCGUUGCAUUUGCUUUUCACAGUCCUUGGCACCCACUGCCUUUUUGUCUCCCUCGGUUUCUAACCCGUUCUGUUUUCUUGCAUUUGUUCAGUAUAAGGAGUAUUUCCUGUAUGCUUUGGCAACUAUUUUCCAUAGACUCUGCUUGUGUUCUCCUUAUAAAACCAGAACAAGAGCAGUGCAAAAAAGAAAACGACCCUGAUAGGAAUGCGCUGAUAACCUUACUUUCCCUACUCUCCAAACCUGAAUUGGGCACCCUUGGUUUUAGCAAGAGAUAGAACUCAACAGUUUGCAUACACUUGCGGAUCUGCCUGUAACCCCACUUCCUAUUUCACAGCCUAAUCUCGGAUGAUACCACAAUGCCCACAGUAUGCUGAUCACCACCAACAGCAGAUGGAGGCGGAUAAAAAGAGCUUUCUCGCUAGUGUGUUGUUUUAAAAGAACCUGAUGGAGAGCUAUGAUCAUAUGUAACACUGCCUCUAGUUAGUUUUUAAAUAACACUUGUAGCAUAUGUCUGGCGCCUGUGCUCAGGAUUUCAACAGAUCAUUUUCAGGAUUUUGACAUUUAACUGGCUUCUUAUGAAGUAGCAGAGAGUUCCAAAAUGUAGAACUGAAAUAUAAGCUCCACACACAGGCAGAGAUUUGAGUCUGAUUUGUUUGUGUGUAUAUCCCAAGUGCCUAAAAGCACUUGGCAUACGGUAGAUGCACAAUAGAUUCCUGUUAAAUGUAUUUUUAGGUGAAAAUGUAGUCUGUACUUUGCAUAAACUUGUCCUACUUUCUUCCUAGUUCUUUAAUAAGUAACCUACUUUUCAUUAUAUAUUUUUAAAUGAAAAAACAAAAUUAUAUCUGGCAUCACUACUUUGGCUGGGCUAUAAAGAAACAGGAAUUUGGCAGUAUGUAUUAAAAUUACAAAUGCAUAUAUACUCGGAGCCUUGAAUUUCAUUUCCAGGGAUUUAUGCCACAGAUGUUUCCACACAUAAGAAAUAACAAGGUGUUUCUUAUUGUUGAGAAUAGCAAAAGAUUGGAAACAAGCUAAGUAUCUAUCAACAGGAUACUAGUUAAAUUAUGAUAGAGCCAUAUGUUUGAACAUUGUGCAGCUGUUAAUCAAAAAAACAGAAAGUUCUUUGUUUUAACAUUAAGAUCUCCAAGAUUUUUUUGUUAAGUGAAAAACACAGAAAUACGGUACAGAAUAUUGUAUUAAAUUGUAUAUGCAUUAAACUAGGACAAAGUAACAUGAGGUAUGAGAACACAGUAGAUGGAAAGCAUAAGAAAUAGACUUCAUUGUAUUCAUAUUUAAACUUUUUGAUAUUCAAAAUUUCAGAAUGUUUUAUCUAUUCAAAUAGUGAAAAUGUUUAAAAUUUUUCUGGCAUCUUUUUGUUGUUGUUGUUGUUAUUAAAACAUUCAGGCUUCUUCUGUUUUAUAAAAGUUUACCUGAGUAAAAUAAACAUAUCAAGGAGGCUGGGUGCAGUGGCUCAUGCCUAUAAUCCCAGCACUUUGGGAGGCUGAGGCGGGCAGAUUGCUUGAGCUCAGGAAUUCAAGACCAACCUGGGCAACAUGGCAAGACCCCAUCUCUAAUGAAAAUACAAAAAAAAAAAAAUAGCCAGGCAUGGUGGUGUGUGCCUGUGGUCUCAGCUACUCCAGAGGCUGAAGUAGGAGGAUCACUUCAACCCAGGAGGUGGAGGUUGCAGUUAGUCAAGAUUGUGACACUGCACUCCAGCCUGAGUAACAGAGUGAGACCAUGUCUCAAAUAAAUAAAUAAAUAAAUAAAUAAAUAAAAUCAGGUAAGCUAGUGCUCAUAGGCAAACUUUUGAAAACCUCAGAGUUUUUGUUCAGAUUGAAUGAUGUCUGUUUCUUACCGUAAUAAUUUAAAAUCCAGGUACAUUUAUUUUGAGGCUUAGUAUACAUUUUAUCAAAUGUAUAUAAAUUUUCAGAAGUACUCUAUUUUUCUUCAAGUUUAGUAGAGCCUUCCUUGAACAAGUUUUAACAAAUUGGAUCCUCCA
rnacentral:lncRNA from 1 species